GCCACGGUGGUCUAGCGGUUAUAACGCUGACCUUGUAAUCCUGGGGUCUCGGGUUCGAUUCCCGGCGGUGCCC
rnacentral:tRNA from 1 species